UGCUCUAGUUUCUCUUCAGAUUGUAUGAAUCUUUUGCCUUUUACUAAAGGUUUCCGUGGAGAGCAAUGCCCAGAGAAUAAGCAAUUUUUUUGUUGCCCUACUUCUGUAGGCUU